rnacentral:rRNA from 1 species
AUAUGACGGUAUCUAAGGAAUAAGCAUCGGCUAACUCCGUGCCAGCAGCCGCGGUAAGACGGAGGAUGCAAGCGUUAUCCGGAAUUAUUGGGCGUAAAGCGUCUGUAGGUGGUUUACUCAGUCCGCUGUGAAAGAUCAGGGCUUCACCCUGAACACGCGGUGGAAACCGGUAGACUUGAGUACGGUAGGGGCAGAGGGAAUUCCCGGUGGAGCGGUGAAAUGCGUAGAGAUCGGGAAGAACACCAAUAGCGAAAGCACUCUGCUGGGCCGUAACUGACACUGAGAGACGAAAGCUAGGGUAGCGAAUGGGAUUAGAUACCCCAGUAGUCCUAGCCGUAAACGAUGGAUACUAAGUGCUGUGCAUUCGACCAGUACUGUAGCUAACGCGUUAAGUAUCCCGCCUGGGGAGUAUGCUCGCAAGAGUGAAACUCAAAGGAAUUGACGG